GACGAACGCUGGCGGCGUGCUUAACACAUGCAAGUCGAACGAUGAAGCUAGAGCUUGCUCUGGUGAAUUAGUGGCGAACGGGUGAGUAACACGUGAGUAACCUGCCCCGAACUCUGGGAUAACUGCUGGAAACGGUAGCUAAUACUGGAUACGACCUACGAAGGCAUCUUCUGUAGGUGGAAAGAAUUUCGGUUCGGGAUGGACUCGCGGCGUAUCAGCUUGUUGGUGAGGUAAUGGCUCACCAAGGCGACGACGGGUAGCCGGCCUGGGAGGGUGACCGGCCACACUGGGACUGAGACACGGCCCAGACUCCUACGGGAGGCAGCAGUGGGGAAUAUUGCACAAUGGGCGCAAGCCUGAUGCAGCAACGCCGCGUGAGGGAUGACGGCCUUCGGGUUGUAAACCUCUUUUAGUAGGGAAGAAGCGAAAGUGACGGUACCUGCAGGAAAAGCACCGGCUAACUACGUGCCAGCCGCCGCUGUAA
rnacentral:rRNA from 1 species